rnacentral:rRNA from 1 species
AGCUCCAAUAGCGUAUAUUAAAGUUGUUGCGGUAAAAAAGCUCGUAGUUGGACUUCUGUUGAGAGAUACCGGUCCAUGCAACGCAUGCGUAUUUGGUAAGUCUCGGCAUCCUCUCGAAAAACUUCUUUGCGCUUGAUUGCGUGAAAAGAGUUUCGGGACUUUUACUUUGAGGAAAUUAGAGUGUUCACGGCAGGCUAUCGCCAGGAUACAUUAGCAUGGAAUAAUACUAUAGGAUCUUGAUCCUAUUUUGUUGGUUUCUAGGAUUAAGAUAAUGAUUAAUAGGGACAAUUGGGGGCAUUCGUAUCAACACGUCAGAGGUGAAAUUCUUGGAUUGUGUUGCGACGAACUACUGCGAAAGCAUUUGCCAAGGAUGUUUUCA